UAAGGUAACGGCUUACCAAGGCAACGAUGCAUAGCCGACCUGAGAGGGUGAUCGGCCACACUGGAACUGAGACACGGUCCAGACUCCUACGGGAGGCAGCAGUAGGGAAUCUUCCGCAAUGGGCGAAAGCCUGACGGAGCAACGCCGCGUGAGUGAUGAAGGUCUUCGGAUCGUAAAACUCUGUUAUUAGGGAAGAACAUAUGUGUAAGUAACUGUGCACAUCUUGACGGUACCUAAUCAGAAAGCCACGGCUAACUACGUGCCAGCAGCCGCGGUAAUACGUAGGUGGCAAG
rnacentral:rRNA from 1 species